rnacentral:rRNA from 3 species
AAAUUGAAGAGUUUGAUCAUGGCUCAGAUUGAACGCUGGCGGCAGGCCUAACACAUGCAAGUCGAACGGUAGCACAGAGAGCUUGCUCUCGGGUGACGAGUGGCGGACGGGUGAGUAAUGUCUGGGAAACUGCCUGAUGGAGGGGGAUAACUACUGGAAACGGUGGCUAAUACCGCAUAACGUCGCAAGACCAAAGAGGGGG